rnacentral:lncRNA from 1 species
GUUGACAAUCAUUUAUUUACCAGUUUUAGUGGAACCAUUGUAUAAAUAGUGGAGACGGUUUCAUAUUAUUACAUACCGUAUGUAGUACAUACUGCUAUUGUUAAAGACCAUGUAAAGUCUGUUCUGCACAUGCAUUCUGCAGGCCUACAUUCCAAUGGUCGGGAACUGACCAUUGGAAUGUUAUUAAUAUUUUGCACCUUCCAAACUUUCUAGAAUUGAAUCUCUGGUCUGUAUUCAUUUACAAACAUAGCAAACCAGAAGAAUUAAAAUUCAGCAUAAUAUAUAUGAUAUAUCUAAUAUAGCACUGGGUUCAGAAUGUAAACAAAGGGUUUGUUUACAUUACAUACUUUACAUGGCCUUUAAUGAAACCUUUUUUGGCUACUAACACCAAUGUUUCUGACAGAGUUGUACAGGUAAUACUGUAAACAGAAACAAUAUAUUAUAUCAUCAAACAAUUCUAUCAAACAAGUUGCAAAAGAAUCCAAAUGCUGUUUCAGCUGUUUAAUUGUCACAUUCAAACCAUGAUGAUUCAUACAUUUACAGUUCAAUUAAAAAAUCCCAAAUCUUGUAUAAACACAGUCCUAGCAUACGUGUACGCUUGUAAGUCUUGUACGCUUGAAUUUCUUUUCAAUAAUAACACUCCAAUAUAGUAGAUCAAGGACAUAUGCCAUCAUUCCCAUCAAUAUACUCACUCAGAGUGAACCAAGAGUAUGAAUUAUUACCAUAACGAAGUCUGUUAUUUUGCCCAAAUGAAUUAAAGUAUGCAUAAAUCAACUCCUUAAUCCCUUCACCACUUUUUCGGACGAAAAGCAACAAAAAAUUCGUCGAAAUAAGCAAAUUUUCAGGCAAAAUAUUAGCAAAUAUAUCGUAUUCACUCAUAUUGGCCGCGCAUGUGAACGCCACAGGGGGUAUGGGUCCAAUAGCUCAUGGAUCGACCAAUCAGGAUCGUUUUUCAAUCCCGUGUGGCCAGAGCCACUCAACGAUGGCUCUGGGUACGAGAUUG